UACGGAGGGGACUAGCGUUGUUCGGAAUCACUGGGCGUAAAGCGCACGUAGGCGGAUUCGUAAGUCAGGGGUGAAAUCCCGGGGCUCAACCUCGGAACUGCCUUUGAUACUGCGGGUCUUGAGUCCGAUAGAGGUGGGUGGAAUUCCUAGUGUAGAGGUGAAAUUCGUAGAUAUUAGGAAGAACACCGGUGGCGAAGGCGGCCCACUGGAUCGGUACUGACGCUGAGGUGCGAAAGCGUGGGGAGCAAACAGG
rnacentral:rRNA from 1 species